UCCACCAGGCGGCGCGAUCCCCUUCCCGACUUUUUUCCUUCUCUUUCCCUCUCCUCCUCGCUCAUCCUCCUCCGCUUUCCUUUGUUCCCAGAGGCCGGCCCCAGUGUGGUUUCCGUUGUGCUUGGGAGCAGUCGCGUAGUCGCCCGUGUCCAGCUCCUUCUUUGUUCUUUGUUCCGAAAUCGGUCUUCUUCUUCUUCGGACCCCGAACGUCGCCUCACGCUUCCUGCCUUCGUCAAAGGGCCUCCUUUCGUUCGACACAUUGGGCGCAAGAGCGAGUUGCACGGCUGGCCCUCCGUUUCAAGUGACCUCCUUCAGCUGCGGAUGACCUGUGCUUAAUCAAGACCGCUUGAAUGGCAACUGAGAACUUGCUCCAAGCAAAAAGUGUUUUUAUGAAAUCGUGUUAGCUCGUGCGAAUUCACUGAAUAGGAACAAGUGUGUUUUCAUCGAGACAGCUCGUCUGGAAACUUGCAUUGUCGGCCUAAUAAAGUCUGAGGUUAUUAAAAUGUGAGGCAAAAAAGGAAAAA
rnacentral:lncRNA from 1 species